rnacentral:lncRNA from 1 species
GCGUACGAUCGCAUCGAGUGGGACUUUCUACAGGCUUGUCUAACACAAUUAAGCUUCUGUGAUUUCUGGAUUCAGAGGAUCAUGCAAUGCGUGAGCAUAGUAUCUUUCAGCAUAAACUUAAAUGGAGAGCCUUUACCUUCAUUCAAACCUACCCGUGGAUUGCGCCAAGGAGACCCCCUCUCACCUUACCUCUUUAUCAUCGUCGCCAAUGUGCUCUCCAUUCUAAUGAAGAAAGCUGUACAGGAGGGCUCUCUUACUGGGAUCAAGUUGAACAACCACUGCCCUACUUUAUCUCAUCUACUCUUUGCCGAUGACUCUAUCUUCUUCCUGCAUGGAACAAUUGUCGAAUGUCAGAACUUGGCUGGCCUCUUAAAUCAAUACUGUUUUGCCUCUGGCCAAGUAAUAAAUCUCAACAAAUCAGGCAUCUAUUUCAGUAAAGGAUGUCCUACAGCUCUCAGGAGAAACAUGGCAUCAACACUUCGAGUACCAGAAAUUACAAAGACAGGUAAGUAUUUGGGCAUACCUUCAGACUGG